rnacentral:lncRNA from 1 species
CAGAGGAUGCGUCUUUUUCUCCCUUCCUUUGUCAUCUUUCUCCAUGUGGGUUUUUAUAUUUAUUUACUUAUACUUAGUUUUAUUCCAAAACUUCUUUGAACUGGGUCAUAAAGCCAACUGCAUAUUGUAAAGUAGAAGAAACUAAGCUCUGAGAAAUCAGGUAAAAAGUGGCAAGUGAUAGCUGGUGAUGGAACGCUACCUAUCCUGGCUUACCCUUUUGCAAAUGUUACCUGGGUGAGACAAAGACAUUUGAACCCUGAGGUUUCUUGUAUUGGUUUUGCUUUGUUU